rnacentral:rRNA from 1 species
UACGUAGGGUGCAGGCGUUAAUCGGAAUUACUGGGCGUAAAGCGUGCGCAGGCGGUUUGCUAAGACAGGUGUGAAAUCCCCGGGCUCAACCUGGGAAUGGCAUUGGAUACUGGCUCGCUAGAGUGCGGUAGAGGGUGGUGGAAUUCCCGGUGUAGCAGUGAAAUGCGUAGAGAUCGGGAGGAACAUCUGUGGCGAAGGCGGCCACCUGGACCAACACUGACACUGAGGCACGAAAGCGUGGGGAGCAAACAGG